rnacentral:rRNA from 1 species
UACGUAGGGUGCGAGCGUUGUCCGGAAUUAUUGGGCGUAAAGGGCUCGUAGGCGGUUUGUCGCGUCGGGAGUGAAAACUCAGGGCUUAACCCUGAGCCUGCUUCCGAUACGGGCAGACUAGAGGUAUGCAGGGGAGAACGGAAUUCCUGGUGUAGCGGUGGAAUGCGCAGAUAUCAGGAGGAACACCGGUGGCGAAGGCGGGUCUCUGGGUAGUAACUGACGCUGAGGAGCGAAAGCGUGGGUAGCAAACAGG